CAUCAUGGAUCGCUGACAUCUGAAGGCUGGAUGAACAAGGACUUUGUGAAGAUGAUGCGACAAAGUGACGUCCCCAUGUCGUCGGAGUCGUGCAUCGUCUGCCUCUGAUCUGGAACCUCGUAGGUCAAUUUUUGUCCCCAAGUUCCUGAACUCCACGCCUCGUGCCAAUUUGCUCGCGCCGUCUUCUCAAUUUCUUGAUCGCAUACACUUCGUCUGCGUUUCCUGGACAGUGGACUGUGUUUGUCACAGAUUUUGCUGCGACCAGAAUCACAGGAGAUGGGUUUGCUUGUUUCUCCGACAAUUGAUGGGCAGCUUGAGCGAUCGAUGCGGUACGGUUGAAGAAGACUUCUCCAAUCUCGAAACGCUUUCCCAAACUGCACUGGGCUGAUUUGACUGCUUGUCGUGGUUUGCGUUUGUUGAAAGGAUUGUACAUUUUACAUUUUUUGAGUUGGCAGCGGAGUGAAGUAUAGCAUGUGUUUUUAAGUCGAGAACCAGAGUGCCGUAUUCAAACAUACUGAAGCAGAUUUGAACAUCUGCCCGGCAUGGGAAUGAAAUAGGUUUUGGGGGUCACAUGUGAAUUCGGAAAGGAGGUGGUACUGCAUUUAGAAGUGACAACGGAUGGGCUUCUGAUAUAACCUGUCGGAAACCUAAGAUGGUUGUGAUAGUGAAAUUUUGCAUGAAUAGUGUGGCAUGUUUGAAUUUGCGGUCUCUUGUGUCGCAAAUGCAAUUUCAGCGCAGACAUUCGCCCAGGAGAUACGCAAAUAAUUUGGUUCCAUUCCAACGAGAACUCUGGGCGAGAUGUCGUGGUCUAUCCUUGCGCGUGAACAUGGUAUGUCUGCAGACCACAGAAAAUUCUUCAGCGUCGGGGAGUUAUCUCGCGGCAGUAGGUAUACGAACGACAUUUUGCAGAACAUUGUGAAACAGAACCACUGAUUGGUUCGCGAGUACGACAAGCUUGUCGGUUCAGUCAAUAGCCUGGAGAAUCUUACGAGGAGUCCAUCAGCUUCUCGUGCCAAGACACCUGAGUUCGAGCACCUCGUCAAUACAGCUUUUUUGCGUUCAGGUGAGUCACUGGAUGACAUUCAGGUUGAACCAUUCGCAGUAGUCCAAAAAGCCGCUGGACGCACUCUUCGUACGCGAAACUUUGACAUUCAGUGUUUGGGAUAGUCACAGCUUUUACUAGGGAUUCCUAAGUUUAGAGCCAGCUGGGAGGAGAGCAAUCUUCGCUUGCGACAACUCGAAGUUCGGCUUCAAGUACCUGGAUUACAAAGAUGAUAUAGUAACGCAGUGGUCCAUUGUGGACUAGCUAGGACCUCUCGGCCUGGUUGAUGAUCACGGUGAACAAUGCGAAAGAAUUUUCACGUCCUGCAUUUGCGCUGCACAUCGUAACUGCUGUGUCAGCUCCAGAAUUUGUCAAUCUCUGGAAUCGUUGCUGCAGCUGUAGGUGCUUGGAGAUCUGCCUGAAUCCUCCGAGUCUGCUUGAUCUUGGCUCUUCCGGUGCGUGCCCUGAGCUACAAGCUGGCAAUUCAUUGCCGUCAUGGGUUCAGGAUCUGUGCAGGCCGACGAAGAAUAGAUUGCUUGGGACCCACCUCCGAAUUCUUCAGGUCUUCCUGGCCUUCCUUCAAGGUACCCAGUUGAAGAUCUGUUUGUUUGUUUGUUUUUUUUCUUUUCAUUGCGUUUAUUGUUUUUACAAGUUGCUACCUGGAGCUACAAUGAUUUAAAGUUUCUUCAUGGCAGGGCUGGAAAAUAGACGAUGAUCUAAUCCAGCACUUCAUGAAAAACUUAGUCCUGCACAACUUUUGUACCCCUAAUGAAGUCCUGUAAACAGACACUAAAAGCUUUAGAGAAUCAAAACACACACACACUUAUAUAUAUAUAUAUAUAUAUAUAUAUAUAAUUAUGUGGGUGUGUGUGUAUAAAUGCUGUAUUGCUUUUUGAAGUCAUUUGAUUAGUUUAACUUGAUUAUGAAUGCUCUUGCUAAAAAGUGAAAAACAAAAGAACAAACAGGUGAGUUGAAACACAUGGGUGGACCAAUGAAGAAGACAAAGAACAUCAGGUGAAAAACCAAAAAGUAAAAAAGCAAAUAUACACACGUAUGCUCUAGCAAAGGUGUAUGUUUGGAAGAUAAAAGGGACAAACUGACAAGGAUGUUGAAAAAGAAAAAGGUGGUGGAUGAUUAUGUGGAUCAUGUGAAAAUCCUUAGACUCUAAUCUUUUCCACCCAAAUUUCCGAACGAUCGGAAGUAAAAACCACUGCCCUUUUUAUUACUAUAACGGUAACAGGUACUAUUACACGGAACUAAUUCACAUAUAUAUAUAGAGAGAGAGAGAGAGAGAGAGAUAUACACAUGUAUAUGUAAGGCCACUACAUGGACCAAUGUCAAAUGUAAAGCACGAGCUAAAUCAACGAGAACCCAAAUUAAUUUAA